CCGGCAGCCCAAGCGGGAGGCGUCCGGGGUCCAGGGCCUCCCCGCCCCGUCCCAGGCGGGGUCUCGGCCAGCGCGGGCGGGCAGGCAGGCAGGCUGUCCUGCGAGCGAGACGCCCGGCUCUGGGCCCAGCACGGACUGGCAGCCUCCAUGCCGCCGAGACGCCUCGCCCUCCGCGCCCCGCCCCCUGCAGCCCUCCUUGGGGCAGGUUUCCUCUUUCCAGGCCGCUGGGGGCGGGGAGGGGGGGCAGCAGGAGGACCCCCCCCCGCUGCUGCCGCCCUUCUGGCUGCUUGCAGGAAGAGCCGGAAAUCGUCCAGGACUCCCCUGAGGAGGAGCUGGUCCAUUUGAAUGUGGGUGGCUGGUGCUUCUCCAUCCCGCAAAGCAAGAUUGCCCGGUUCCCAGACUCUCUGCUCUGGAAAGAGGUGUCAGCCCUGACGCAGAAGGAGAGCCCGCGCUUGUUCCUCGACCGAGAUGGCUACACCUUCAGACACGUCCACUACUUUCUGCAUACUUCCAAACUCUACUUCUCCAGCUGCGCAGAACUGAACUUGCUCUACGAGCAGGCGCUGUGCUUGCAGCUGACCCCGCUCCUACAGACUUUAGACAAUCUGAAGGAAGGGAAACAUAACUUGCGUGUCCGGCCUGCUGAUAUACCAAUAGCUGAAAGAGCAUCCAUGAAUUACUGGAGAACACGAAAGUGCAUCAGCAAGCCAUCUGAAUUUCCUCUUAAAAGUCCAGCAUUUACUGGCCUGCAUGAGAAGGCCCCCUUGGGACUCAUGGACACACCGCUGCUGGACACGGAAGAGGAAGUGCACUACUGCUUCCUGCCUCUGGACUUGGUGGAAAAACACCCUUCCCUGGUCAACGAUGACAAUUUGCUGUGGCUGUCCGACAACGCAGCGCUGGUGGAAUGUGAAGGCAGCGAGUUCCGCUUCAUCGCUAAUUUCCUUCGCUCCGAGAAGAUUCUUUUGCCUGACAACUUCUCCAGCAUGGAUGUUCUGGAAGCUGAAGCUGACGUCCUGGGAAUCCCGGAGCUGACCGAAGCACUGAAGAGCUAUCGGAGUAACCCGGGGGUCUACUCGGCUAUGACCACUGAUCUGCAGAGUCCGGUGAAGAGCACAGUCCCAAAGCAGCCGCGGCCACCGCCGAAUGCUCCGCUGGUGGCAGCCACAGGCCUGCCCCUGUACCCAAUGGUGCUGGGCCUCUUAGUUAAAUACCCCGAUUCCGCUUUGGGGCAGCUUCACCUGGAGGGCACCCUGGACGGGAACAAGCUCCAUAUCUCCGGGAAUGGAGUCCUCUUCCAACAUGUCAUGAAUUGGUUAGGAACUUGUAAACUGCCCCUCAUACGAAAUAUGUCUGAGCUCCCGGAACUCUGUGCCUAUUUGGAUCAAAUGGAUAUCAUAUACGAGCCAAUGAAGGAGGCUUUAAAAACAUACCUGAAGCAAAAGACAGCCACCGAUGCUGCUGCUGCUGCUGCCGCUGCGGGGACAGAUGCGGACUGGGCAGCAGAAGUCAUGGCCUUUCCCCGCCACCAUAUUGUCAAAGUGUACGUAGGAAGCCACUGGUACGCAACUUACUUGCAAACAUUAUUAAAGGUACAAUUCGUUCCGGAGCUCCUGUCAAAUUAUAAUAAGGUAUCUUGGAUUGCUUACGGUCAGAGUCUCCUCAUCAACGGAGAUGGACAAAUGUUCCGACACAUCCUCAACUUCCUCAGGCUGGACAAGCUGUUCCUGCCGUCUGAAUUUAAAGAGUGGCCGCUGCUGUGCCAGGAAGUGACCGAGUACCAGAUCCCUUCCCUCAUGGAGGCCCUUUGUCAGUAUGAGACGUACAGGUUAUGGGUAAAACAACAGGAAACUCACAGUGAAGCUUUUCUGUUCAGAAGUCUUAAAACUACAGCACUGGAGAAAGAACAAGAAUCCAGUGAAGACCCUCGAGAGCACUCCUAUCUUGCCAUAGAUUUCAAGCCAUGUGCCAGUAACUGGACCGUAAGCAGAGAGGCGCAGGCGGUGGAAGGGAGCGGCCGCGAGAAUGAGAAGUACACCCGUAUCUCCCCCAGCAAGGCAGCCAAGCGCAGAAACAGCUGGGAAGGGUCUAAUCCAUCCACCGAAGGGUGGGGAAAUGCCUGCUGCUACAAACAGCCAGAAAGUCCUCCCAGAAAGCGAGUCGCCAAAGGCCACUUGCCCAAGAAGCCCGAAAGCAGAGACACCCCCAUCCAGAAGCUCAUUUCCCUGGUGCAGGGAUGGGACAUGGUGAACAGCAAGCGCCACGAAGGCCAGAAGCCCUCGGCAGCAUCCAGGGGCGGCAGCAGCACAGACGGAGAGCCUGGCGACAGGAAGGCCUCCUGCAAGCCGCCGGCAGCCCCUUGCUUUGGGGUCACCUGUUCUGAGCACUCGGGGACCGGCCUCGUGAUCCAUGCUGCAUCCAGAGGGCCAGGAAGUCUGGCAAAAGCUGGCCAGCCCACGCUGGGCAUCCCGGCUGCCAGAGGGUGGCUGGCCAAGGCUGGCACCUUGGAAGAGGGCCCUCCAAGAGGGGGAGGCUUUGCCGCCAGGGAGCUGCGUGGCCAGAAAGAAGAAGGGACAUGCCCUGGGCAAGCCAGGGCCAUCCCGGCGGAGCCACCGGACAACGUUGGGCUGAUCCUUAAAGUCGAACACCCUCCCGUUGUGGCCUGUGAUGGCUCCUGCACCUCUCACGGAGACAGCAUCCUCUACAGCACCCGUCUGGAAGAGGUCAAGCUGGCCACUGGUCCUGCCCCACCAGCAGCAGCCAAAGAGAUUGUCUUCCUGAGCUUCCCGUUGUCCCAAGAGGAGAUCUUCUAUGCCCGGAAGUGCCACCGCUUCCUCACGGAUGUCAUCUUGGACUCCAGGCGGCAGAAGGACCCCAAGGAGACCACAGCCAGAGUGGAGCUUCUCGUGCAGAGGCUGUGGGUAAGCGGCCGUGGCCCUCCGGGGCUCCUGGAGGCCUCGGGCAUGGCGGGGGGGGAGCCCUCGCCCCCUCUGGCCCAGCACUGCAGUGGGCCCUUGUAUGACUGGGCCGGGCAAGAAGCCCAGCUCUGGCCCUCCCGCGGAGGAGGGGAGGCCCACCUCCACGUCUGCUGCUGCCCAGCCAUGGUGCCUUGCCCUCCCUCCCUCCCGCCAUCUUGCCUGCUCCACUGGGCUGCCUCUGCUGGGGGUCUCCCGCUCUCCCGUGGGCUGGCCUGUCCCCUCAACACCCUCGCAGGGCCCCGUGGUGGCCCCUCACGGCUCCCAGAAAGCCAAGUAGGCGAGCCUGGCCAGGCGGCUCUUCCGGGGCUGGCUCUGGAGGGCUCUGCUCGAGUGGCCUCCUGUCUUGCAGAGCCUGCAGAUCACGGCCAGGGAGUUUGUGGCUGACCUGCUGGAUGCAGGGCCCUUCAAGGCCGACAGCCACGCUGGCGAGAAGCUACUGAAGUGGGUGGAAUUCACGCUGCCUUUUGCCUGGAAGUACAGCAGCUGCAUGGACCUGCUGAUAAAACGCGGAUACUUCAAGUCACUCUCUCAUUUUGUCACCGGGAAAUCUGUGCACAAGCCUCAAUAAAGAGCAAGUCCUCUG